UGGGCUGGAGCUCAGUGGGAGAGCAUUUGCCUUGCAUGCACAAAGUCCUGGGUUCCAUCCCCAACACUGCAA
rnacentral:tRNA from 1 species